rnacentral:tRNA from 1 species
GGCGGUAUAGCUUAGUUGGCUAGGCGUCGGGCUCAUAACCCGAAGGUCGUAGGUUCAAGUCCUGCCUCCGCAACCA